CAUGAAUACAUGUUUGUUUAUCAAUUCAAUUAACCUGUUACAAGCCACACUUUAAUUUCUCUGUGUUCAGAAACCAAGAAAAGGAAGUGUGCUGCUUGCUUUUCUUUCCAUAUCACUCCUAACCUCAUGUGAGCUGGAUGUUGUUAACCCAGCUGCUGGCAAUAUCACUCGGCACCAGCAGCAUGGUGCCGUGCUGCGAAGUGAGCUAAUGGGCCCCGAGUUACUUCAUCGCACUUCUAAGUGUUGCUCCAUUUAAGAGAAGCCGGAAUGACUGCAGAGGCACUAAUAAAGCCAUUCAGACGAGAGAGUGUCCCUUGAGAUUCCAUGGCUCUACUUGAAAAUCGUUGACAAGUCUUUCCUAAAGGCCCAGGUGUGUCCUUCAAAUGGAGCUUUCGCUUCUCCGCUGCUGGCUGAGCUGCUCUGCAGCGUCCUUGAAGUGUCUGUAGCACAUGCAACUGCUCUGCUGAACACGAUGGCGCUAGUGCUGCACUGCUGAUCUUCUUCCUUCUUCCCCGACAGACAAAAUGAUCUUUUAAGGCUGCUGUGACAACUGACGGCUCAUUUCUGUAUGGAAGAGCUUCAAAUCAGUGAGUGAAACGUCAACAAUUAAGGUACGCGAAGACUGCUUGGGAUCAUCCAUUCUGAACCAACCUUCAAAUCUACUCCUGUAUGCCUUCACUGAAAUUUACUGACAUUUAUGGAAGAACAGAUGUGCUGUUGCUCGUGGAUAUGAGAAACAAAGACUUCAGUGAGAGCAAGUGUGACCAAACAACACAUGUGUGAUUAAAAUAAGAAACCAGGUACACAGCAUAAAAUUUCGCUGCAACACCCAUUGACAUUCCUGCCUGCAAGGGUCUUUACUACAUCUUUUAAUGACUAUGUAAUUCCUCAGUAUUGGGUCACACCACAUCCAGCUUCGAACUUCACCUUGACCUUUAUCUCAAGUCCACAAAACCAGAAAGUUUGACUGACUGUAUCAAACUGGGUUAUUAUACAAUUUUGGUGCUGUCCUCAGAUUUAGAAACACCAGCCAGAGUACUUGAAGCCAACUUUACAGUCUUGUCUGCAACAGUAUGUGUCUCCACCACAAAGACAGACUGAGAGGGUGAAAAACGUACCAUCCACAUAUUGCAGCUAGUAAUUAGUGGGAACCUGCAAUGAGCCCAUCCACAUUGUUAGUUAGCUAUCAUUUGUUUGGAUUAAACAGAUAUUCCAGUGAGCUAGUACGAGUAUAUCUUGUUGUUUCUGAAGAUGUUCUGGAAAUAAUGUAGCAGGUGUUUGCAACUUCCUGCAAAAUGUAAAAUCCAUCUGAUAUUGGUGCCCCUUGAACUGAAUAAAACUAUGUAAUUUACUUCUAAAAACACAGAACUUUCCAGAAGCAUAAAUGUUUAAAUUGGAACACAAUUUUGU